CACCAGUAAAAUCCCCUCCACCUCCUUAUUACUACCACUCACCACCACCACCGGUUAAAUCUCCACCACCACCAUACUACUAUCAUUCACCACCUCCUCUGGUGAAGUCUCCUCCACCACCAUACUAUUACCAUUCACCACCACCUCCAGUAAAAUCUCCUCCCCCCCCAUACUACUAUCACUCCCCACCUCCUCCAGUGAAGUCUCCUCCGCCACCUUACUAUUAUCACUCCCCACCUCCUCCAGUAAAAUCACCACCACCACCAUAUUAUUACCACUCUCCACCUCCUCCCGUGAAAUCCCCCCCACCUCCAUACUACUACCACUCACCACCCCCUCCGGUAAAAUCACCCCCACCACCAUAUUACUAUCACUCCCCACCUCCACCAGUGAAAUCCCCACCACCACCGUACUACUACCAUUCUCCACCCCCACCGGUAAAAUCUCCGCCACCACCAUACUAUUACCACUCCCCACCUCCUCCGGUGAAAUCUCUACCACCACCGUACUAUUACCAUUCACCACCUCCUCCGGUGAAAUCUCCUCCUCCACCAUACUACUAUCACUCACCUCCUCCACCAGUAAAAUCUCCUCCGCCACCGUACUAUUACCACUCUCCACCUCCUCCAGUGAAGUCGCCUCCACCUCCUUAUUACUACCACUCACCUCCUCCUCCGGUGAAAUCCCCACCACCACCAUAUUAUUACCACUCACCACCCCCACCCGUCAAAUCUCCUCCACCUCCAUAUUAUUACCACUCACCACCUCCUCCGGUGAAAUCUCCACCACCACCAUAUUAUUACCACUCACCUCCUCCUCCGGUGAAAUCUCCACCACCACCAUAUUACUACCAUUCACCUCCCCCUCCAGUCAAAUCUCCACCACCACCAUAUUACUACCAUUCACCUCCCCCUCCAGUGAAAUCCCCACCACCACCAUAUUACUACCAUUCACCACCUCCUCCAGUGAAAUCUCCACCACCACCAUACUACUACAACUCUCCACCACCACCAGUAAAAUCUCCCCCACCUCCCGUCUACAUCUACGCUUCUCCCCCACCUCCUACCCAUUACUAGGCUCGUCAAAUUCAACCAAGUUUCCCCAUUAUUCAAGUAAGUCCCAAGGCUCCAAUAUUCUAAGUAUGCUCCAUAUC
rnacentral:lncRNA from 1 species